AGUGAACGCUGGCGGUAGGCCUAACACAUGCAAGUCGAACGGCAGCACAGUAAGAGCUUGCUCUUACGGGUGGCGAGUGGCGGACGGGUGAGGAAUACAUCGGAAUCUACUUUUUCGUGGGGGAUAACGUAGGGAAACUUACGCUAAUACCGCAUACGACCUAUGGGUGAAAGCAGGGGAUCUUCGGACCUUGCGCGAUUGAAUGAGCCGAUGUCGGAUUAGCUAGUUGGCGGGGUAAAGGCCCACCAAGGCGACGAUCCGUAGCUGGUCUGAGAGGAUGAUCAGCCACACUGGAACUGAGACACGGUCCAGACUCCUACGGGAGGCAGCAGUGGGGAAUAUUGGACAAUGGGCGCAAGCCUGAUCCAGCCAUACCGCGUGGGUGAAGAAGGCCUUCGGGUUGUAAAGCCCUCUUGUUGGGAAAGAAAAGCAGCAGGUUAAUACCCCGCUGUUCUGACGGUACCCAAAGAAUAAGCACCGGCUAACUUCGUG
rnacentral:rRNA from 1 species